GACGAACCGUGCGAACGUUAUUCGGAAUCACUGGGCUUAAAGCGCGUGUAGGCGGGGCGGCACGUCGGUCGCUGAAAGCCCCCGGCUCAACCGGGGAAGCGGCGCCGAUACGACCGCCCUGGAGGGACGUAGGGGGACCUGGAACUUCCGGUGGAGCGGUGAAAUGCGUUGAGAUCGGAAGGAACGCCCGUGGCGAAAGCGAGGUCCUGGACGUCUGCUGACGCUGAGACGCGAA
rnacentral:rRNA from 1 species